CUCCCGAUCCCAUCUCCCUCCUCAUCUCCCGCACCCCACCCCGUCGCUCCAGAUGCCGCAUCUCUCUCUGAUCUAGAGAAAAACCUUCUUCGGCUCCCCCCUCCUCGUCCGCCCCGCGGCCGCGGCCCUUGCCAUCGGCGGUAGGAGCCAGUCCCAUCGAUAAACUUUCCACUCCUCCCUCUUAUCUCCACCACUCUAGAUCAUGUUCGUCCAUUGGCGAGAUUGGUGGCGGCGCAGAAGGAGAGCUCCUAUGCACCACCGGUUCUUUACAGCCUAUGUGAACUGCAGCAGCACCAGAUCGAUGCUGUCGUUGGUGUACGGCGCCUUUGUCUGCGUCGCCGGGGUUGGUCGUACUACAGCUGUCCAAUGGUACGUCAGUGCUGGAGGACGUACUGGGCCUGGGAGUGGUGUGCAGGUGCUGCUCGAUUUUGGUUGUUCCAUAUGCUGGCCGCCGGGAACGGCGCCGUUGGGGACGCCGUCAGGGCGGGGUUCUAGGUGCGAUGGAAGGCCGACGCCGGGUGGUGCGGCGAGUGCUAGGCCUCCGGAGGGUGCUGCGGGUAUGACACGGCGGCGUCGGAUGAUCACACAUGCUUCUGUUUCGGAGGUCUGGCUAGCGGGUCGUGUUCUACUUCUUCAUCAAGUUCAGUUACCCAAUAGUUGAUCUGAGAGGUAAUUGGUUGGUUAGUGAUGUUUGAUUGAUCUAAGCAACCUUGAGAUGGGCGAUGGGCGAACGUGAGCGGCGGCCAACGGCAGACAUGGACUCAAGCCAACAGAGGUACACGGCGGAGCAACUCACCUGCUCAUCUCCACUUCGCAGGCGGCAAGCAGGCAACAGCUGCCACCAAGGUGUGUGCUCUCUUUUUUCCUUUUCAAAUCCAUUUUGUUCACAUGGGUCUCAAAAAAAUUGGGGAUCAACAAAUUGAUCGCUCGGAGUAACGAGCAUACAUAUUCUUUCUUAUGCAUCAAGGCAGGAAACAUUGUUUUAUUGUCAGCACAUGGAAUUUUUGGUGGUCAACCCAUCAGCCAAUGCCCUCAUGAUCUGCGCUUGGUGUACUUACACUUUUUUUGGACUAAGGUCAAGCAGUUCCUGUGAAAUGACUUUGGGAAUGGAGUGGUUCACUGGGGUAAUUAGCGGUACCACCACAUGCUGACAUGGAGUGUACGAGGUAUGUAUUUUCAGCUUGUUAAUUAGGAUGAAGUGGAAUACAUCAUAAAUAUUCUUUGCAUGACCGGUCAGGGACAUAUCAACACGUCCACUUAAUCAAGUUAAUCCAUGUUCAGUUCCUUAGUUUGCCUACCAUUGUCCGGAUUUACCAUGUAUUAUUUGACCGGAAAAAAUGCAUUGUUAAUCGCUUCGACGAACAAGUGAAUAUGUAGGUUGUAUCCCUCUUUAGUUUUUUAACGGUCUAUUUCACUGACUCACUACUCCAUCAUACAUUAAGGUCAAGAAUUUUUCAUGUGUUGUCCCUUCUUAAAUAUGUUGCACUUGCUUUCUUCUGUCAGCAUUUUAGAAAUAUAAAUUUCCUCAAUUGAUUUCUUAUCCCGUUACCCCCAUGUAUGUAUUGGUUGUUGAGCAUCCUUCACUGUUACAAAGAUAGGUCAGUAGUCAGUAAGAUAAAUAAAAUUUUAAUAUAAGGUGGUAUUGUUCCAAUUUACUGGCGGUGCAUUUUCGCCCUUAAUGUUGUUGUUCUUGUAUUAUUUCUUAAGUUCUAAUUAAGACUAAUGAUCUGUUCACACAAGUCUUAAGAAAGGAGUGUGAAAUUAAUUUCUUAGCAAAGAAUCUAGAGUUAGACUUACUCGAUGGUUGAUCAGUCAAGUGAAGUAAUGAUCUGGAUGUGUUGGCAAAAUUUUUUUGCAAGUGCAUGGAGAAGCUAAGGAAUAUGUCAGCCACUUUCGUAUAUUGUGAUGUUAUUACUAUAUAUUAAAUGCGCUAGAUCUCAAUUCACAUAUCAUAAUCUGUCAAAUUGUGAUUAUGAUAUUUUGUUGCUCAAAAAAAUUAGAGUCAGGUAUGAUGACUUAAUAAUACUGAGACUUAAACUCAGCUACCAAGUAUUAAUAAAUUAAUGUUGCAUCUACUAAUAGCCUAAAUUAAUGAUUCAUGUUACAUAUUCAUACAAAGUUUACGUGUAAUUAGCAUGUGUGUUCUCAUUUGUCCAUUUUUAAAUAGUUUUAGGGAAUAACUAAAUACUAAUUUGAAAUGAAUAAGAUUAUUUUAACUAAUACCAAGUGUAGUUUGAUUCUCCUUUUAGUUUCUAAGAGAGGAAGGAAUUAGUUUUCUGUUUAAUAGCAGAAUAAUCAGACUUGUACCACUUUACUCACGAAAACAAGUUAUUUGGGUUUCUAACCGAGCUGACAUGCUGCUUCUUUAUAUAAUGCAAUCUACUUAUAAAGAAGGUGAUUUGUUAACCCCUUUCCGUCGUAGACAUAGUAUGUUGAAUUGGUAUUCCCAGUCUAUCAUGUUAAUUAGAAAACCUUAUGCCUAAAAAUGCUUUAAAGUGUCAUCAUUUGUUUUCUCCCAACCAUUUUUUAUCAUUACAUCGUUUUCCUGGCAUGCUCAAGAAAUUACCAGUGUGACUUGCCUUAUCCAGCCAUUGUCUGGACUCGCUGCUUAGUUUGGUUGCUAAUGUAGUCAGUACCGGCUUGCAUUGUAGUUCUCUUUAGUCCGAGCAAUGGCUGGAACUAAUUUUCACGGCUCAAAAGUAGUCCCAGCCACCGCUCCAUGGAAGAACUAACACUGCUGCUUUCUGUUUGGUAUAUUUUUUGGUUUGUUAGUCUUUAUAUGAGGUUUAACUAUUGUAGCUAAGAGAGAAACACGAGAAAGUAGCCAUUACAGUCACUUGUUAUAUUGGGAAAACAUCAAAAGCUUGUAAUGUUUGUAUUCACGAAACAAAAUGAUUAUUUGGUAAAUAUAUUUUCUUAUGUCGUAGCAA